GACAGAGGGUGCAAACGUUGUUCGGAAUUACUGGGCGUAAAGCGCGUGUAGGCGGUUCGGAAAGUCGGGUGUGAAAGCCCUGGGCUCAACCCAGGAAGUGCACUCGAAACUCCCGAACUAGAGCCUGGAGAGGAAGGCGGAAUUCUCGGUGUAGAGGUGAAAUUCGUAGAUAUCGAGAGGAACACCGGUGGCGAAGGCGGCCUUCUGGACAGUGACUGACGCUGAGGCGCGAAAGCUAGGGUAGCAAACGGG
rnacentral:rRNA from 1 species